UGAGUCGGUCGGGUGGCCGCGGCACGGCACUUCGGUGACCGUGUCGAGGAAAGUCGGGACUCCACCGGGCAGGGUGCUGGCGAGAGCCAGGUGGGGGCGACCUCACGAACCAGUGCAACAGAAAGCAGACCGCCGAUGGGUCCGGCAACGGAUCACAGGUGAGGGUGAAACGGUGCGGUAAGAGCGCACCAGCGUGUCGGGUGACCGGCACGGCUCGGCAAACUCCACCCGGAGCAAGGUCAAGCAGGGGGAUGAGCGGCCCGUUCGAUUCCCCCGGGUAGGCCGCACAGAUGGAUGGCCACCGGGCGCCGAGGCGCCCACAGAAUCCCGCUUACAGACCGACUCACCAU
rnacentral:RNase_P_RNA from 1 species